rnacentral:rRNA from 1 species
UGGGGAAUAUUGGGCAAUGGAGGCAACUCUGACCCAGCAACGCCGCGUGAAUGAUGAAGGUCUUCGGAUUGUAAAGUUCUGUGAGGAGGGACGAAGAAAAUGACGGUACCUCCAGAGGAAGCCACGGCAAACUACGUGCCAGCAGCCGCGGUAAUACGUAGGUGGCAAGCGUUGUCCGGAAUGACUGGGCGUAAAGGGAGCGUAGGCGGUCUAUUAAGUUAGAAGUGAAAGCCCGAGGCUUAACCUCGGUACUGCUUUUAAAACUGAUGGACUUAGAGUAUGGGAGAGGAAAGUGGAAUUCCUAGUGUAGCGGUAGAAUGCGUAGAUAUUAGGAGGAACACCAGAGGCGAAGGCGACUUUCUGGACCACAACUGACGCUGAGGCUCGAAAGCGUGGGGAUCAAACA